GAAGGCGUCGGCGCGGUGCGGCUGGGGGUGCGAACCCUGGUGUGGUUCGCCGCCACCUCCUUGAUGGCCGUACUGGUCGGCUUCGCCUUCG
rnacentral:tRNA from 1 species